rnacentral:misc_RNA from 1 species
UACAUGUAUAUUUCCAUCUAUCUGUAAUGACAUAGUGUUCCUGCUUGGUUUAGUUUUAAAUGUGUUCCCUGCCUUUUGAUUGGUUGACACGGUUACACUGUAGCAAUGAGGCCUCAAUUAAAUUGCUGUUUUAGUGCAAUUGUUUUAAGUCCCAGCACUAUAAUAAGUAUGAUGAUAGAAUUUGUUUUUCCUUCAAAAAGUGCUAUUAGAUGUUUUCAAAUGCUUGUUAGUUUAGAGAAAUACCCUGCAUUCUCAUGCAGUACACUGUUCUAGUAACUUGCUCAUUAAUGAUGUAUAUAAUGAAGGCAUAUAUAACCAACCUAGGGGUAGGCUUAUCAACAAGCCACAAUAGGAAAACAUGUCAGCUUCUGGUUAUUUUUAUCCUCAUUUAUUUUAAGAAUACCAAAAUGAAGAGAUCUGUUGGAAGCUAAUUAUCUUAGAGCCCAUUGAACAUAAAAUUUGUGUUUGUUGAACAAACUAUCCAUAUUGUAAUUCCUCGAUUUCAAAUUUUUAGAACUAUACUGUAUAUUUUUGCCCCCUGACCGGGAGUUGACAAAUUUUUAUGAUGUCAUCAGUAUUUUUAGAGUGCUUUGUUAUAUAUAGUCUAUGAUUCAUUGAAUUAUUUUUAAAAUGACAUUUACUGUACUUCACUGUGAAGAACCCUUUAUGGAUUUUGUUAUAGACUGUCUAUUUCUUGUUAUUACAUGUUGUUUCAUGGAAAAUUGAUUGUGAUAAUUUUAGAUUAUUUUUAUCUUAGAUAACGCACAAUACAAUUACAAGUUUAUUAAUUCUAAGAAAAAAAGCAAUGAAUGUUGUAACAGUGUGUUUGAAUGGGUAAGGAAAACAGUUUUUGAUUUAUAAAACAGAAUG